rnacentral:rRNA from 1 species
UACGGGGGGGGCAAGCGUUGUUCGGAAUUACUGGGCGUAAAGGGCGCGUAGGCGGCCACCGCAAGUCGACUGUGAAAUCUCCGGGCUUAACCCGGAAAGGUCAGCCGAUACUGCGGGGCUAGAGUGCAGAAGGGGCAACUGGAAUUCUCGGUGUAGCGGUGAAAUGCGUAGAUAUCGAGAGGAACACCUGCGGCGAAGGCGGGUUGCUGGGCUGACACUGACGCUGAUGCGCGAAAGCUAGGGGAGCGAACGGG